rnacentral:rRNA from 1 species
AGUAGUUUGAUCAGUGGCUCGAGGACGAACGCUGGCGGCGUGCUUAACACAUGCAAGUCGAACGGUAAGGCCCUUCGGGGUACACGAGUGGCGAACGGGUGAGUAACACGUGGGUGAUCUGCCCUGCACUUCGGGAUAAGCCUGGGAAACUGGGUCUAAUACCGGAUAGGACCAUGGACUUCACGGUUUGUGGUGGAAAGCUUUUGCGGUGUGGAUGGGCCGCGGCCUAUCAGCUUGUUGGUGGGGUAAUGGCCUACCAAGGCGACGACGGGUAGCCGGCCUGAGAGGGUGUCCGGCCACACUGGGACUGAGAUACGGCCCAGACUCCUACGGGAGGCAGCAGUGGGGAAUAUUGCACAAUGGGCGCAAGCCUGAUGCAGCGACGCCGCGUGAGGGAUGACGGCCUUCGGGUUGUAAACCCCUUUCAAUAGGGACGAAGCGCAAGUGACGGUACCUAUAGAAGAAGCACCGGCCAACUACGUG